rnacentral:hammerhead_ribozyme from 1 species
AUCUAGCUGACGAGUCCCAGAUAGGACGAAACGUGCAUCCAGGAU